rnacentral:rRNA from 1 species
GACGAACGCUGGCGGCGUGCUUAACACAUGCAAGUUGAACGGAGCACAUCAAGUAGCAAUACGAGGUGUGCUUAGUAGCGGACGGGUGAGUAACGCGUGAGUAACCUACCUUUGUGAGGGGGACAACAGCUGGAAACGGCUGCUAAUACCGCAUAAGGCCACGACCUCGAGUGAGGUUGAGGUAAAAGAUUUAUCGCACAAAGAUGGACUCGCGUCCCAUUAGCUAGUUGGUGAGGUAACGGCCCACCAAGGCGACGAUGGGUAGCCGACCUGAGAGGGUGAUCGGCCACACUGGAACUGAGACACGGUCCAGACUCCUACGGGAGGCAGCAGUGGGGAAUAUUGGGCAAUGGGCGCAAGCCUGACCCAGCAACGCCGCGUGAGGGAAGAAGGUCUUCGGAUUGUAAACCUCUGUCCUUGGGGACGAAAAAAAUGACGGUACCCAAGGAGGAAGCUCCGGCUAACUACGUGCCAGCAGCCGCGGUAAUACGUAGGGAGCGAGCGUUGUCCGGAAUUACUGGGCGUAAAGGGUGCGUAGGUGGCCUAGCAAGUCAGAUGUGAAAUCCCCGGGCUUAACUCGGGGGGUGCAUUUGAAACUGCAAGGCUUGAGUGCAGGAGAGGAAAGCGGAAUUCCUAGUGUAGCGGUGAAAUGCGUAGAUAUUAGGAGGAACACCAGUGGCGAAGGCGGCUUUCUGGACUGUAACUGACACUGAGGCACGAAAGCGUGGGGAGCAAACAGGAUUAGAUACCCUGGUAGUCCACGCUGUAAACGAUGGAUACUAGGUGUGGGGGAGAUACAACCUCCGUGCCGCAGCUAACGCAAUAAGUAUCCCGCCUGGGGAGUACGGCCGCAAGGCUGAACUCAAAGGAAUUGACGGGGACCCGCACAAGCAGCGGAGCAUGUGGUUUAAUUCGAAGCAACGCGAAGAACCUUACCAAGGCUUGACAUCCCUUGACGUGCAUGGAA